rfam:Sporosarcina sp. HYO08 scaffold_24, whole genome shotgun sequence.
AUUAUGGAGAGUUUGAUCCUGGCUCAGGACGAACGCUGGCGGCGUGCCUAAUACAUGCAAGUCGAGCGGACAGAUG